rnacentral:miRNA from 1 species
UAACUUCCGCUAUCUUAGUAGC